UCCUCUUUUGUCCCUCUCUCACAUCCUCACUAAGCUCGACCUCGGUUAUCUCUCUCAUUGAAAUUUGGCUCAUUGGCUCUGGCACUCAAGCUCUCUCCCGCUCUCAUCUCCGGCCUCUCUCACUAUCUCCGGUUUCACACUCAAGCUCGUCAACGCUCUCUGGGUCGUCAGUCACCACCGUCUCGAACUCAAUCGCACUCGUCGUCGCCGGCGGCAGAAGCAACAGAUCCCAGGACUGGUCGUUGUCGUCGCCCCCUAUCUCAUCACCUGGAAAUGACGAAGUUAUGCUUAUAUUGUUCUUCAUGCAGGAUUGUAAUUCUUAAAUCUCCAGCCAAAGGAGAGAAUGGAUCCUUGAACGGACUUAAGCAAAAUUCACCUCUGUUCCUUAUUCACACAGAUCAGUAAAUGCGUGCGAGCAAGUAAAUUCUAUGAUCGAAUAUUUCCUGUUGUAUAUAUUUCAUCACUGAAAAAAAUGUCGGCAUCGCAAUCCCUCGGAGGUCCUUCAUGGUGCGGUCGAGUGCUCGGUCCAUCACUCGACAAGAUCAUAAAGAACGCCGCGUGAUGCAAGCAUUCUCACCUUGUCGCGGCCUGCAAAGCAACCCUUGACAAGCUCGAAUCAGUGUUUGAGUCUGAAUCUGAAUCGACCACUUCAGGCACCAACCAAUCCCAAUCUCCUCUUUCAGGCCUCCCCUCCAAAAAUAAGGGAAACAGGACCUGGGGAAAGUAAAAUAAGGGAGGAUGAUUUUCUUCUUUUCAAAAAUUUGUGCAAACUGUACAUGAAAUUCUCAUCUCAGCAGCACCCUGACAAUUGUAUCCUCUUGAGAGGGAAAAUUUUGUCCUUGGAACUCCUUAAGGUAGUCAUAGAUAAUGGCAGCUCAAUGUGGCGCGAGAAUGAGAGACAAGUGAUAUUUGCAGGAUUGUCAACGGCCUUCUUAAAACUGCAUUGUGGCCAUCCACAGGCUCAACCACAGCUUUGUCUCCAACGCAGGAUAUAACUUUCCGACAUGAAUCUGUGAAAUGCUUGGUUAGCAUCACUAAGCCAAUGGGGGCGAUGGACCAACAAACAAGGAUAGGAGAUUUAUAUCUACCAAAAAUCUCUUGAGUGCAAUGGUACACCAGAGCAUCAUCUACCACCAAAUGGUGAAGAAGGGAAUGCUUUUGACCAUGAGCUACAUCCUGAUGUAAAUUUUGAAUUUUCAGAUGCUGCUGCGCUGGGGCAGCCCCGGACAUAUAAAAUUGAACUUCAGGUUGGCUCAUAGGAUGACAAGUACUCUUGCAAAAAUUUAGUGGUAUGAUUGAAUAGUGUUAAAUGCUCCAUGCUUGAUUUGAUACGACACCGACCGGUCUUGAAAUCUGCUACUUCUGUCACCGGCGACGACGAACACGAUUGAGUUCGAGACAGUGGUGACUGACGACCCAGAGAGUAUUAACAAGCUUGAGUGCGAGACCGGAGACAGUGAGAGAGGCCGGAGACGAGAGCGGGAGAGAGCUUGAGUUCCAGAGCUAAUAAGCCAAAUUCCAGUGAGAGAGAUGAGCGAGCUCGAGUUUAGUGAGGCUACGAGAGAGGAACAAAAGUGGAAGGGGAUAGAAUUUUCAAAUUAAAAAAAAAUUAAGAAUCAUCUGGUCCGGUUUAUAUAAACCGAUUCGGAUUGUUGAUUUUGGCAAAAACCGAUCAUAUUAAACCAAAUCUAAUCACUAUACUAUGUCCAUAGAUAAUUGGUAGAUAUAAGGUGUCUUUAAAAAAAGUUGUUUUUGAUAACUUGAUGUGAGUGGCUCCCAAAUUAUAAUACUAAAACGCUGGCUUAAACUGGGUCCUAUGAAUACA